rnacentral:rRNA from 1 species
UGGGGAAUUUUGGACAAUGGGCGCAAGCCUGAUCCAGCCAUGCCGCGUGCGGGAAGAAGGCCUUCGGGUUGUAAACCGCUUUUGUCAGGGAAGAAAUCUUCUGAGUUAAUACCUCGGGAGGAUGACGGUACCUGAAGAAUAAGCACCGGCUAACUACGUGCCAGCAGCCGCGGUAAUACGUAGGGUGCAAGCGUUAAUCGGAAUUACUGGGCGUAAAGCGUGCGCAGGCGGUUUUGUAAGACAGAGGUGAAAUCCCCGGGCUCAACCUGGGAACUGCCUUUGUGACUGCAAGGCUUGAGUGCGGCAGAGGGGGAUGGAAUUCCGCGUGUAGCAGUGAAAUGCGUAGAUAUGCGGAGGAACACCGAUGGCGAAGGCAAUCCCCUGGGCCUGCACUGACGCUCAUGCACGAAAGCGUGGGGAGCAAACAGGAUUAGAUACCCUGGUAGUCCACGCCCUAAACGAUGUCAACUGGUUGUUGGGAAGGUUCCUUCUCAGUAACGUAGCUAACGCGUGAAGUUGACCGCCUGGGGAGUACGGCCGCAAGGUCGAAAC